UACAUGGGGUGCAAACGUUGCUCGGAAUUAUUGGGCGUAAAGCGCACGUAGGUGGUCUGUUAUGUCAGAUGUGAAAGCCCUCGGCUUAACUGAGGAAGUGCACCUGAAACUGGCAGGCUUGAGUACGAAAGAGGGUCGCGGAAUUCCCGGUGUAGAGGUGAAAUGCGUAGAGAUGCGGAGGAACACCGAUGGCGAAGGCAGCCCCCUGGGCUAACACUGACGCUCAGGCACGAAAGCGUGGGGAGCAAACAGG
rnacentral:rRNA from 1 species